GGCGAACGGGUGAGUAACGCGUAGGCGAACCUGCCCUCCGCCGGGGACGAACACUCCGAAAGGGUGGCUAAUACCGGAUACGAAGUCUGUGCCGCAUGGUACGGAUUUUGAAAGAUGGCCUCUAUUUAUAAGCUAUCGCCGGGGGAUGGGCCUGCGUCCGAUUAGCUGGUUGGUGGGGUAACGGCCUACCAAGGCGACGAUCGGUAGCCGGUCUGAGAGGAUGAACGGCCACAUUGGGACUGAGACACGGCCCAGACUCCUACGGGAGGCAGCAGUGGGGAAUCUUCCGCAAUGGGCGCAAGCCUGACGGAGCAACGCCGCGUGAGUGAGGAAGUUCUUCGGAACGUAAAGCUCUGUUGUUCCUGACGAACCUCCCUUCUAUCAACAACGGAGGGGACUGACGGUAGGGAACGAGGAAGCCACGGCUAACUACGUGCCAGCCGCCGC
rnacentral:rRNA from 1 species